CCGAGAGCUGCGCGGGCUCCUCAGCAGACAGCGACCCUCACUCUGACACUCGGACCUCGACCGCAUUCCCGGACUGCUGCUGUUGCCCGUCUUCUGAAUGCAUCAACACGUCAUCGUCUGUGGGGAGAGGGACGUCUUGCGGUUUUCCCCAGUGAACAGUAGAUGACGGCUUGCAAUCUGGGGCUCUGAUUUCUGCUGACAUUUGGGGCUCUGCCUCUGUCCAACUCCAAAGAAAGCACCCAGACAGCUGAUUGACAUGGCAGGAGGCCCCUCGGUCCCGGUUUUCCCCAGCUUAGGCUCACUUCCACAUAUCACCGCAUGUGAACCUGCCAACCUGGUUCCAAUUCACUUCCACACCCUCCUGCUGCAUGGACCUGCCGAGAUGGUGCCUCUGCCCGCAAAGGGGUUCCUGUUCAGAGUGCCAGUUCUCUCCCCUGUCUCACUGGUGGGGGAGUGAGUCAGUGGCUGCAUGGAUCUCUGGGACUGGACAUACUACCCAUGACAGAUGUACAUCCUGUCAAGAAUCUACAAAUGUUUGCAUUUUAACUGAAGACAGAGAUGACACCUCACAGUUGAUUCUUACAGUGGUAAAAGUAACCAAGUCCAUAGGACAGGUAGGAGAAUUGCCUUCUGCCCUGGUUGACUCUUGCCAACCACCAGAAAUAGUGCCAUGCUAGCAACAGCUGCUGCUAGUGCUGGUGUUGCUGCCUCAGUUGCUCUCAUCCCUACUACUCCUUCAUCUACAUCUACUGCCUGAGAUGAAAACUUGUUAAAAUCACUGAAGAUUUUACUGUGCACAUCAACCUUGCAGGUCAGCUACCAGAAGUUUUGAAGUAUUUGCUAUUUCUGCAGCUAAAGAAGCAUCUUUUUCUCCUUUAGCCCUCUGGUUUACAGUAUUUUCUUGACAAAUGUUUUAUUUUCUU